AAGACCUAGCAAUAGGUAUGCUUAGGGAGGAGCUUGCGUCACAUUAGUUAGUUGGUGGGGUAAAGGCCUACCAAGACUAUGAUGUGUAGCCGGGCUGAGAGGUUGAACGGCCACAUUGGGACUGAGACACGGCCCAAACUCCUACGGGAGGCAGCAGUAGGGAAUUUUCGGCAAUGGAGGAAACUCUGACCGAGCAACGCCGCGUGAACGAUGAAGUAUUUCGGUACGUAAAGUUCUUUUAUUAGGGAAGAAUAAAUGAUGGAAAAAUCAUUCUGACGGUACCUAAUGAAUAAGCCCCGGCUAACUAUGUGCCAGCAGCCGCGGUAAUACAUAGGGGGCAAGCGUUAUCCGGAAUUAUUGGGCGUAAAGGGUGCGUAGGCGGUUAAAUAAGUUUAUGGUCUAAGUGCAAUGCUCAACAUUGUGAUGCUAUAAAAACUGUUUAGCUAGAGUAAGAUAGAGGCAAGUGGAAUUCCAUGUGUAGUGGUAAAAUGCGUAAAUAUAUGGAGGAACACCAGUAGCGAAGGCGGCUUGCUGGGUCUUUACUGACGCUGAGGCACGAAAGCGUGGGGAGCAAACAGGAUUAGAUACCCUGGUAGUCCACGCCGUAAACGAUGAGUACUAAACGUUGGGUAAAACCAGUGUUGAAGUUAACACAUUAAGUACUCCGCCUGAGUAGUACGUACGCAAGUAUGAAACUUAAAGGAAUUGACGGGACUCCGCACAAGCGGUGGAUCAUGUUGUUUAAUUCGAAGGUACCCGAAAAACCUCACCAGGUCUUGACAUGCUUCUGCAAAGCUGUAGAAACACAGUGGAGGUUAUCAGUUGCACAGGUGGUGCAUGGUUGUCGUCAGCUCGUGUCGUGAGAUGUUGGGUUAAGUCCCGCAACGAGCGCAACCCUUAUUGUUAGUUACCAGCACGUAAUGGUGGGGACUUUAGCAAGACUGCCAGUGAUAAAUUGGAGGAAGGUGGGGACGACGUCAAAUCAUCAUGCCCCUUAUGACCUGGGCUACAAACGUGAUACAAUGGCUGUUACAAAGGGUAGCUGAAGCGCAAGUUUUUGGCGAAUCUCAAAAAAACAGUCUCAGUUCGGAUUGAAGUCUGCAACUCGACUUCAUGAAGUUGGAAUCGCUAGUAAUCGCGAAUCAGCAUGUC
rnacentral:rRNA from 1 species